AUCAAAGAUAACUGAAUCUACUCUACCUUGAUUUGCUCCUCUCGAGCAGACAAUUGUUUUUUAAGCUCUUCAAUAAUUCUGCUGGGUUCUUCGCUGCAGCUGAUAUCAUUUUGGGCAGCGAUCAAGAGAGUUCUACAAUUCUGCAGAUCUUUUUUCACCAGAGAAAGAACAUUCACCUGCCCACAUGCUAGAAUGCUGGGGUCUCUCUCAUAGAUGGUAGACUUUUGCAUUGUUUCGUUACUUGAAGGUCUGAUC
rnacentral:misc_RNA from 1 species